rnacentral:miRNA from 8 species
GAUGUCAGCUGGACAUAUCACA